rnacentral:rRNA from 1 species
AUGAUUUCACCACUUCGCUGCCGAAUAGAGCCGUUGCCCGUGGCUGCGUCUGAUGUGGCCUCUGCUUCAACCUGCCACCGCGCGUUGACCCGGGCUGCUACCCCCGAAGUAAAUCUGGGAGUGGUUUUAGAAAAACUGGUUUAA